GAUGAACGCUAGCGGCAGGCUUAACACAUGCAAGUCGAGGGGUAUGGUUCUUCGAAGCCAGAGACCGGCGCACGGGUGCGUAACGCGUAUGCGAAUCUACCUUUUACAGAGGGAUAGCCCAGAGUAAUUUGGGAUUAAUACCGUACAUAGUAUAGCUCUACCGCAGUGGUAGUACGUAUUAAGUCACAACGGUAAAGAUG
rnacentral:rRNA from 1 species